rnacentral:rRNA from 1 species
UCCCACCCGAUCCCAUUCCGAACUCGGCCGUGAAACCCGACUGCGCCAAUGGUACUAUCGCUCAAGCGAUGGAAGAGUAGGUCGUCGCCAGGC